rnacentral:tRNA from 1 species
AGGGGCUUAGGAGAAAACUAGACCAAGGGCCUUCAAAGCCUUCAGCGGAGGUGAAAAUCCUCCAGCCCCUG